rnacentral:rRNA from 1 species
UCUUCCCAUUCCGAACAGAGAAGUUAAGCUUCGCCACGCCGAUGGUACUGCGUACAAGUGGGAGAGUAGGUAGUCGCCGUUU